AAGUCGUAACAAGGUCUCCGUAGGUGAACCUGCGGAGGGAUCAUUAACACUAUUUGACUGUUCAUUCAGUUCAAAUUACACACCUGUUGAACUCGGUUAUGCAAAUAACCAAUCCUCCCUUUGAAAUAGAAAUUGUUUGAAUCCGAUUUGUAGUGGGCUCUCUUGAUAUUCUCGAAUAUCUUGACGGCAAUCUGUUCAAACUAACAUUGCAAUAUUAUAAAUUCGUUUAUUCUAUUGACUAUGUAGAUUUCUUUUCUUAGGCAAUUUAUAAAAUUUCAGCCGCUACAGAAAUGAACCCCAUAUUCACACCUUUGUACUCCAAUUGACUGAUAACGAGGAAUUAUUAAUUUAAUUCUUUCAAGAUUUUCUAAACUAAGCACAACUCUUAGCAACGGAUAUCUUGGUUCUC
rnacentral:misc_RNA from 1 species